CGGGCGGCCAGGCUUCUGCUGGGUCCUAAUGCCAAAAUCUCUUACUGGAGCCUCAGCGCCGUCUAGCUGCUGCCCAGCGUCAGCGACUUUACCUGCUCAUUACCUAGGCACAUCACUAGGCUUCCAAGGGGGAGAGCGGCACAGCUGGUGUUUGUAUGCUGCUGUUUGUGUAGCCAUAGCCUGUGAGGACCCAGAGAGCAGGACUCCCAGUUCCCCUCGCCCAGGCCAAGUGAGGCACGGACUGUGGUUGCACUCAGGGUGCAGCCGCCACUCACCCUCAGCAGCUCCUCUUCUCCCUGCUCCUUCACAAACACCUCCUCCAGCUCUUGGUUGAGCCCUUCCAGGCUCCUGUGCAGGCAGGGGCUGAGUCGCAAGACAGGGGACCCUGAGGGGAAGCUGGGAGGGGACGCCUGAGGAAGAGGCAAAUGACAAAAUCACACACAGCCCCACCAGGCCUAGACAGUCAUUCAUUCUGACCAGUGGUAAUGGUCAUGUCCACACAGCAGAACUGAGUGAAUGAAGGGUGAUUUGGGGACAGUUACAGAUUGCAAUAGGUCCACUCAGGGCAGUUUUCUC
rnacentral:antisense_RNA from 1 species